rnacentral:lncRNA from 1 species
UUUUUUGUUGCAAUUUCGACCCUGACCUUUGGGGGCAGUACUGGUUAUUUACCCCAGAUUACAAGCCAUCAAAAAUGGAACCCAUGUGGCAACAAUGGAGGUUUAGAGGAAGCUGUUGCUUCAUUCUUCUGACUAAUUUGUUAACCUUUGUUUGAGGAACUUAAAGUUCAAUGCUCAACGUAUGUGGUUUAAUUAUAUUUGUGUUAGAAAAAUCUUGGUACUUAUUUGUACUUAUUGAAGUUUUGUUCUGUUUUUUUUUUUUUUCAGAAAGGUUCUUGUUUCUUUGCAUUCUGUCAAUUAACUCGUAAUGACUUCUAUGGACAAAUCUUACAACCAUCUACAACUGUUUCACCGAAGCAAAGUUGGAUUAUUUCUUCGCUGUUUCACUACAUUUCUCAGGAUUUCUAUGGACUUCUGAGGACUAUUUCAGCCAGACCUGAUGCUCUUGAACCUUCUAACCAGUUAAACAGAAGAGGACGCAGCAGCAUCUUUAGCAAACAAACCAGUGGCAGAGCACAGGAGCACAGGGUGUCGCCUGGAAGAAAAUGAGGCUCACACAUUCAGCACAUUGUUGUGCUGAAGAAGACUCUGUCACUGAUCGCAGAUUGUCUAUAUAAGGCAAAGGCGGGUGGAGGAAUGAGCAACGACGGGCCGAUGGGUUUCCUGGCA